UACGUAGGGCGCAAGCGUUGUCCGGAAUUAUUGGGCGUAAAGAGCUCGUAGGCGGUUUGUCGCGUCUGCUGUGAAAACCUAAGGCUCAACCUUGGGCUUGCAGUGGGUACGGGCAGACUAGAGUGCGGUAGGGGUGACUGGAAUUCCUGGUGUAGCGGUGGAAUGCGUAGAUAUCGGGAGGAACGCCGGUGGCGAAAGCGAUUCCCUGGCCCGUCCCUGACACUGAGGCGCGAGAGCUAGGGGAGCAAACAGG
rnacentral:rRNA from 1 species